rnacentral:rRNA from 1 species
ACGGGAGGCAGCAGUGGGGAAUAUUGCACAAUGGGCGAAAGCCUGAUGCAGCGACGCCGCGUGAGUGAAGAAGUAUUUCGGUAUGUAAAGCUCUAUCAGCAGGGAAGAAAAUGACGGUACCUGACUAAGAAGCACCGGCUAAAUACGUGCCAGCAGCCGCGGUAAUACGUAUGGUGCAAGCGUUAUCCGGAUUUACUGGGUGUAAAGGGAGCGUAGACGGCGAGGCAAGUCUGAUGUGAAAGACCGGGGCUCAACCCCGGGGCUGCAUUGGAAACUGUUUUGCUAGAGUGCAGGAGAGGUAAGUGGAAUUCCUAGUGUAGCGGUGAAAUGCGUAGAUAUUAGGAGGAACACCAGUGGCGAAGGCGGCUUACUGGACUGUAACUGACGUUGAGGCUCGAAAGCGUGGGGAGCAAACAGGAUUAGAUACCCUGGUA